CGUUUGGAUCCAUGUGCAAGCAGGUACGUUUAUUUAAACAUCCAAGAGCAGACACGGGCAAAAACAGAGACGUGGUCAAAAGCCAGGCAGAGGUCAAGGACGAGGAGCUAGACAGGGAGGUAAGUAAAACAGGCAAGGGUCAAAACACGAGUAUGCAAAAGAGUAAAUAAAACCGCUCAGAAAUUGCUAGGGAAAAACUAGGCAAUACUUUGCGGAGAAUGAGGACUAAAGUGAGAAUAUAAAUAUGGUGAGCCUGAUGAAGGUAAUUGCGUACAGCUGGUGAAAGAAGCAAUGGAGGAAAUAACUAUUAUUGUCUAAUUUAAAUUAGCAAAUUAGUUUACAUUAAAAACCCACCACCUACUUUGAUUAGAUUUUUUGAUCAAUUUUUAAGAUAAUCUCUACAUUAUGUUUUUUUAUACUGAUAUAACCCUCCUGGCAAGUAUUCCUACUUUAAGUCAUUAGUUUUUUUUAAUUUGUGAUACAACCUUUUAUUUUUGCAGCACGUAAUCUUAAUUUUCUCUCUGCUGAUGGAUGUUUAGGACAAAGAUUUGUCUUUUUCGCCAUCCUGUUGUGUUUCGCCAUCGUCUUACUCGGACAUACAAUUGACAUGCAGUGAUUUAAGGCUCAGACUGCAUUUUUGGGGCCUCUGGCGUUGUCUUCUCUGCACAUGGUUUCAUGGGUUUUGUGCCUGUAAGACUUGUUUUUAAUGUUUCAGCCUUCACCUUUAUCAUCGUUGCUGAUUUUAUCCUUGGAAUGCCGGAUUUGACUUCUGGAGUAUCUUCUGGAAGUGUUUCGUCCAGGAGUGGUCCUUCUGCCUCAGGCUGAGUUCUCUGGGGUUGUCUUCUCAGCACGUGGUUUUAUUGGUUCUUGGUUGUGUGCAUUUAAGACUUGCUGUUAUUCUUUUACCCUUGGCUCUGAACUUUUUCAUUAUUUCAUCAUCGCUCAUCAUUGAGUCAAAUACCUUCAUUUUUUUUAAAGAGUCUUUUUUUAAAGAGACUACAGAACAAAAUAUAAAUUAUAGAACAGAGCUUUACAUUACUACAAUCAAACAGAGGGAGCAAUUUAAACUGAAACAACUAAAAUAUUAUCAACAACAACAAAAAAAUAAAAAA